AUUGAACGCUGGCGGCAUGCUUUACACAUGCAAGUCGAACGGCAGCGCGGGCUUCGGCCUGGCGGCGAGUGGCGAACGGGUGAGUAAUGCAUCGGAACGUGCCCAGUAGUGGGGGAUAGCCCGGCGAAAGCCGGAUUAAUACCGCAUACGACCUGCGGGUGAAAGCGGGGGACCGAAAGACCUCGCGCUCUUGGAGCGGCCGAUGUCGGGUUAGCUAGUUGGUGGGGUAAAGGCUUACCAAGGCGACGAUCCGUAGCUGGUCUGAGAGGACGACCAGCCACACGGGGACUGAGACGCGGCCAAGACUCCUACGAGAGGGAGCAGUGGGGAAUUGUGGACAAUGGGGGCAACCCUGAUCCAGCCAUGCCGCGUGCGGGAAGAAGGCCUUCGGGUUGUAAACCGCUUUUGUUCGGGAAGAACUCCUCUGGGCUAAUACCCCGGGGGGAUGACGGUACCGGAAGAAUAAGCACCGGCUAACUACGUG
rnacentral:rRNA from 1 species